AUUGAACGCUGGCGGCAUGCCUAACACAUGCAAGUCGAGCGCGCCGCGGACGGGUGUGUAAUGUCUGGGAACCUGCCUGAUGGAGGGGGAUAACUACUGGAAACGGUAGCUAAUACCGCAUACCAUCAGAUGUGCCCAGAUGGGAUUAGCUAGUAGGUGGGGUAAUGGCUCACCUAGGCGACGAUCCAUAGCCGGUCUGAGAGGAUGACCAGCCACACUGGAACUGAGAAACGGUCCAGACUCCUACGGGAGGCAGCAGUGGGGAAUCUUGCACAAUGGGCGAAAGCCUGACGCAGCCACGCCGCGUGUGUGAAGAAGGCCUUCGGAUUGUAAAGCACUGUCAGUGGGGAGGCGGUACCUAAAGAAGAAGCACCGGCUAACUCCGUGCCAGCAGCCGCGGUAAUAC
rnacentral:rRNA from 1 species